rnacentral:misc_RNA from 1 species
AUGAGAAGCUGCCAAACAUAAAUGAGCAACUCAAAUUGCAACUAAGAAAUACCUGUGCAUCAUGGAGUUAAAUCUCACAGAAAAUUUAAAAUCCAGGGACAACAUAUCCAAUCAACAAAAAAUUAAUAGCAAAACAUAAUUGAUAGUUCCUCUAAGCUUAGAGCUACAUAUAGAAUCUUAAAAAACGAAAAGAAGAUGCUCACUUCAAUAUAAAGAACAUUUAAUCAUUUCACAUAAAAAUAAUGUUUUAGCAAUUUGGCAUCUAUAAUGAAGAUGCUAAUUCAAGGAAAUUGGACUAUAAAAUUAUUGGUCAAUAACAUGAAUGAGAAGUUUGCUUGAUUAAGUUUUAGCUUAAAAGGAGAGGUCAAGAAGCAAAUAAUUGUUUCAAAGAUCUUGAUCAGAAGCCAGAUUUGUACCUAUUGGACCACAAAAGAGGGACAAUCUCCGUAUUCAUCAAAUCACAUUUGCAAACUCUCCAAAAUUCACCUUCUA